rnacentral:rRNA from 1 species
GACGAACGCUGGCGGCGUGCUUAACACAUGCAAGUCGAACGGAAAGGCCCUGCUUUUGUGGGGUGCUCGAGUGGCGAACGGGUGAGUAACACGUGAGUAACCUGCCCUUGACUUUGGGAUAACUUCAGGAAACUGGGGCUAAUACCGGAUAGGAGCUCCUGCUGCAUGGUGGGGGUUGGAAAGUUUCGGCGGUUGGGGAUGGACUCGCGGCUUAUCAGCUUUUUGGUGGGGUAGUGGCUUACCAAGGCUUUGCCGGGUCGCCGGCCUGAGAGGGGGGCCGGGCACAUUGGGCCUACGAUACGGCCCAGAAUCCUACGGUAGGCAGCAGGGGGGAAUAUUGCACAAUGGGGCGAAGCCUGAGGCAGCAACUCCGGGUUCGGGAUGACCGGCUUUGGGUUGUAAACCGCUUUCGCCUGUGACGAAGCGUGAGUGACGGUAAUGGGUAAAGAAGCACCGGCUAACUACGUG